GCAUUGGUGGUAUAGUGGUGAGCAUAGCUGCCUUCCAAGCAGUUGAUCGGGGUUCCAUUUCCGGCCAAUGCA
rnacentral:tRNA from 1 species